rnacentral:rRNA from 1 species
AUUGAACGCUGGCGGCAUGCUUUACACAUGCAAGUCGAACGGCAGCAUAGGUGCUUGCACCUGAUGGCGAGUGGCGAACGGGUGAGUAAUAUAUCGGAACAUGUCCGGAAGUGGGGGAUAACGUAGCGAAAGUUACGCUAAUACCGCAUAUGCCCUGAGGGGGAAAGGGGGGGAUCGUAAGACCUCUCGCUUUCGGAGUGGCCGAUAUCGGAUUAGCUAGUAGGUGAGGUAAAGGCUCACCUAGGCGACGAUCCGUAGCUGGUCUGAGAGGACGACCAGCCACACCGGGACUGAGACACGGCCAGACUCCUACGGGAGGCAGCAGUGGGGAAUUUUGGACAAUGGGCGCAAGCCUGAUCCAGCCAUGCCGCGUGAGUGAAGAAGGCCUUCGGGUUGUAAAGCUCUUUCAGCUGGAAAGAAAUCGUAUCUAUUAAUACUAGGUGCGGAUGACGGUACCAGCAGAAGAAGCACCGGCUAACUACGUGCCAGCAGCCGCCGCAG